UACGUAGGUGGCAAGCGUUGUCCGGAUUUAUUGGGUUUAAAGGGUGCGUAGGCGGUCCUCUCAGUCAGUGCUGAAAUAUCCCGGCUUAACCGGGAGGGUGGCAUUGAUACUGCAGGACUUGAGUAAAGUUGAGGUUGGCGGAAUUGACGGUGUAGCGGUGAAAUGCUUAGAUAUCGUCAAGAACACCUAUUGCGAAGGCAGCUAACUAAGCUUUAACUGACGCUGAGGCACGAAAGUGUGGGGAUCAAACAGG
rnacentral:rRNA from 1 species